UUAGAUCUUAACUCAUCAAACUCUUUGCAGGGUGGUGGUGAGCUGAUGGAAGCACUUGCACCUUUUAUCAAAAGUGCUUCUCCUAUCAAUUAUCCUCCUAUUUCACCUUCUUUCUCUUUUCCCUCUACAAAUUCUCAAUCUUUUCCUAUUACUACCACUACUUCUUCUACUUUAGUUUCACCUUCUUUUUCUUUUCCCUCUACAAAUUCUCAAUCUUUUCCUAUUUCUACCACUACUUCUUCUACUUCAACUUCAUAUCCUUAUGAUUCAUUUUCUUUAACAUCUCACCCCAAUAUGAGCUAUGAUGGUUGCUCCACUUCCAC
rnacentral:lncRNA from 1 species